rnacentral:rRNA from 1 species
UACGUAGGGGGCAAGCGUUGUCCGGAAUCAUUGGGCGUAAAGCGCGUGUAGGCGGCUUGGUAAGUCCGUUCUGAAAGCCCGGGGCUCAACCCCGGGAGGCGGAUGGAUACUGUCAAGCUCGAGUCCGGAAGAGGCGAGUGGAAUUCCAGGUGUAGCGGUGAAAUGCGCAGAUAUCUGGAGGAACACCAAUGGCGAAGGCAGCUCGCUGGGACGGUACUGACGCUGAGACGCGAAAGCGUGGGGAGCGAACAGG